UACGUAGGGUGCGAGCGUUAAUCGGAAUUACUGGGCGUAAAGCGUGCGCAGGCGGUUGGCAAAGUCAGCUGUGAAAGCCCCGGGCUUAACCUGGGAAUGGCGGUUGAAACUAGUCGACUAGAAUCUGGCAGAGGGGGUGGAAUUCCACGUGUAGCAGUGGAAAUGCGUAGAGAAUGUGGAGGAACACCGAUGGCGAAGGGACAGCCCCCUGG
rnacentral:rRNA from 1 species